CCUACGGGUGGCAGCAGUCGGGAAUUUUGGGCAAUGGGCGAAAGCCUGACCCAGCAACGCCGCGUGAAGGAUGAAGUCCCUCGGGAUGUAAACUUCAUAAGUAUGGGACGAAUAAGGAGGGGUUAACACCCCCUUCGAUGACGGUACUAUAUGUAAGCCCCGGCUAACUCCGUGCCAGCAGCCGCGGUAAUACGGGGGGGGCAAGCGUUGUUCGGAUUUACUGGGCGUAAAGGGCGCGUAGGCGGCGCAACAAGUCACUUGUGAAAUCUCCGGGCUCAACUCGGAGCGGCCAAGUGAUACUGUCGUGCUAGAGUGCGGAAGGGGCAACUGGAAUUCUCGGUGUAGCGGUGAAAUGCGUAGAUAUCGAGAGGAACACCUGCGGCGAAGGCGGGUUGCUGGGCCGACACUGACGCUGAGGCGCGAAAGCUAGGGGAGCGAAC
rnacentral:rRNA from 1 species